UGCAUCGAUGAAGAACGCAGCGAAAUGCGAUAAGUAAUGUGAAUUGCAGAAUUCAGUGAAUCAUCGAAUCUUUGAACGCACAUUGCGCCCGCCAGCAUUCUGGCGGGCAUGCCUGUUCGAGCGUCAUUUCAACCCUCGAGCUCGUCUUCAUUGACGAGAUCGGUGUUGGGGAACGGCACCAGCGGACCUAGUCCGCCGCCGGCCCCGAAAUUCAGUGGCGGCCCGUUGCGGCGACCUCUGCGUAGUAACUUAACCUCGCACCGGAAGACCAACGCGGCCACGCCGUAAAACCCCCGACUUUUUUAAGGUUGACCUCGAAUCAGGUAGGACUACCCGCUGAACUUAAGCAUAUCAAUAA
rnacentral:rRNA from 1 species